rnacentral:lncRNA from 1 species
CUCCCCUCCCCUGUCAGUUCUUAGGCAUUUAAUACAUUUCGAAAUUUCUUUUUCAACCAUAAUUUUGAACUGCUUGAAAUAAUUAAAUGCCUCUGAUUUUGCUGUCAAAAGAAACACCCAUGAUUUGCGACUGAAAUCAUCAAUAAAACACAGAAUAUAUCUUUUACCACUGUUAGACAUAGGAUUGAUAGGACCGCAGAUAUCAGCAUGAACGAGUUGUAAUUGCACAGUUGCUCUCCAAUUGCUGAUUUUCGACAUAAUCUCUCUGUGUUGCUUGCCAUUGAGGCAAUCGGUGCAGGUCACGGUUGGGGCAGAAAAUUUGGGCAGUCCAUGCACCAUUUUUUUCCACUGCAAAGUUCGUAAACCUUUAUAGCUUAAGUGCCCAAAUCGUCUGUGCCAAAGGUAUGAUGGAUUCUGGGCAGUAGUGUUGAGACAGUGAUCUUGAUUCUGAUGAUUCUUAAUCUGUGCAGGUAAUGGAUCUUGUGGUUGUGCCAGAAGGAUGAACAUCCUGUUUGCACUCAUCUGAGUUUGAAUGAUCAGGCCCUUCUCAGGAUGGUAAAUUUUACAAACCCCAUCUUUAAUUAAUAUU